GCAUCGUGCAUGUCCUAAAAUGUUUUAAUAUGCUGCAAUAGGAGCCUCCUCCCUCCUUUAAAAGGGAGGCAGCUGAGUGAGCCAUGCAUGAAGUUCAGUUUCUCUCAUGUUCGGGCACAUCGGCAAGCCAUUUGAAGUCCCGGUAAGGAACACGACUCCCUGUUUCUUUCCUAAUGCAAAUGCCAAAUCCUACUUUCUCGGACAAGAAUGAUUUGUGAGGAGUGUUUCCUCUGUGUGUGUGUGUGUUGGUUUUUGCAGUUUCUUUACUGUGCCUUGGACAGCAGUUUGCACUCUUUUGUGUGGGGAUAAAGUAUCCCCAACUGCAGACAGUUAGGUGCUAAUUUUGUGAAUAUAUCGAUGCAGACAAGCAGAUUAUCCAUGGGUUAGAUGGUCAUUCCUCCUUCCAUUUUUGCUUAUUGUUUUUUGGGAUAGGACAUUGCUAGGAUAAUUGUAUCUCUUGUAGACCAAGUUCUUGGAACAGAACCUACACAGUUAAAGAAGGACCAGUGUCAGGGUCAAGAGAGUUGACUGCCAUUAGAACAAAUCAGGCAAUUCCAGCUAGGAACAAGUGGGAGCUGAAUGCCGGUUUGGUUUAGAUGAGAAUUGAGCAAAAUUCACAAAGUUCUCAAAAGUUCCUCAAAAAGAACAUGAGGUUUUUUUUUGAAUUGGUGAGAAGCCAGAACAGAUUCCCCUGGCCAAUAUGAAAUUUGGAAAUACAAUAAAACAGGAAAGCUGGAAGUUCUUCAAUAAGGCAUUUCAAUAAGAGGUACGCUUAUUCUGAAUAUCUAUUUGCAGAUUCUUCUGGUCACAUAAUUGCUUUGUUGGAAGGAGAGCUUAGUGCUCAUACAAUCUUCCUAUCACCAUGAAGGUUCUCCUGGGAUGUUUUCUCUUCUUGGUGCUUCUAACAACAGGGGGUUCGAUACAGUGCGAAGUUUGCGUUGGCAAUGGCAAGACCUGCAGUGGCACAAAUCAGGAUUGUGGUUCCCAGUAUGAUACCUGUGCCACCAUUUUAACAAAAA